rnacentral:RNase_P_RNA from 2 species
CCGCCCCGGCUGGCCGCUACGGCCGCAAGGCUGAGGAAACUCCGCCCUCCCCGCGGCACCGGGGCCCCGAAAGGGGGCGCGGGUGAAACCCGCGGCAACGGCACAGAAACGACACGCCCGCCUGCGGGAUGACGAUGAGGGGGCGAGGACCCUCGGGCAACCGAGGGUCAGCAACCCCCCGAGGACCCAGGCGGGUGCGUUGAAACGGCCGCCCCCCGGGGUGCAAGGGGGCGCGCCGAUGAGGGCCGCGCGACUGGCGCGCCGCCCCGCUUAGCCAAAUGCGGCCGAAGUACAGAAGGCGGGUUAUAGCCGGGGCGG